UUGAACGCUGGCGGUAUGCUUUACACAUGCAAGUCGAACGGGCUAUGGGGCUUGCUCCAUAGUUAGUGGCGAACGGGUGAGUAAUAUAUCGGAACAUAUCCGGAAGUGGGGGAUAACGUAGCGAAAGUUACGCUAAUACCGCAUAUGCCCUGAGGGGGAAAGGGGGGGAUCGCAAGACCUCUCGCUUUCGGAGUGGCCGAUAUCGGAUUAGCUAGUAGGUGAGGUAAAGGCUCACCUAGGCGACGAUCCGUAGCUGGUCUGAGAGGACGACCAGCCACACUGGAACUGAGACACGGCCCAGACUCCUACGGGAGGCAGCAGUGGGGAAUUUUGGACAAUGGGCGAAAGCCUGAUCCAGCCAUGCCGCGUGAGUGAAGAAGGCCUUCGGGUUGUAAAGCUCUUUCAGCCGGAAAGAAAUCGCGCAGGCUAAUACUCUGCGUGGAUGACGGUACCGGAAGAAGAAGCACCGGCUAACUACGU
rnacentral:rRNA from 1 species